UCAAACACCAUUGUUGGAGUUGGAGAAGGAAGAAAAUGCUGGUUUUGUUGAAGAAGAGGCAAAAGGGUCCUCAAUUGAUGAACCUUUUGUUGAAGACAACGAAGAAAGUGAAGCCUAUGAACCAGAAGAAGAAGAAGAAGAAGAUAUUGAAGAAAGUGAAAACUAUGAACCAGAAGAAGAAGAAUUAAUGGAAGGAAACAAUGUGUUAAGUACUGAAGAGAUGAACAAAAGAUUUGAUGAAUUUAUCAGAAAAAUGAAGGAAGGAUUAAGGAUCGAAGCUCAACAACAAUUAGUCAUGCAGGUUUAAUCAUCACCAAAGAAUCAAAAUCUCCAUAUUGUUCAUAUAGUUUCCAUGUUUGUAUAAUAUAUAUAUUUUUCUGUUCUUCUCCUUUUCACUAUAAUUUUGUACAUAAAUGGUAGUAGUUUUAGUAGUCUGAAGCAUUAACCAGACCUGUUGAUGGGAUGGGAUGAUUGGGGAAUCAAAUUUGAAUUAGAAUUAAUCACAUUAAAUUUUCGUACUAAGGUCGAAAUUAGCAGGUCUAGUUAUAGUUAUAGCUCAUUUGCAAUAAAAAUCCUUGUUGUUUUAAAGGAUAAAUGUCGUAGUUUCACCUUAUGUAAAUCAUGUGUUUGAUAAUACAAUAUUAGCUCCUUUACUUUUUGCUUUUAACUCAUGUUGGACUCUUAUUUUAUUUUGAAAUAUUUCGUAUUUAAUAUAUAUCUGAACAUGAUUAUAAGUAGGGGUGGAUGAUUAUAUCAGAACAAUUUUUUAGGGGCGGAUGAAAGUUUUAUUUUUUAUAGUCUAUAUCUUUAUCAUUUUUAAAGGAUUAAAUCGAUUUUUUAUAAUUUUAGGGGGGGCUAAAGUAUAAUUUUACCUUUACUAAUUUAAAUUUUAAAAAUAAUUAAGGGCCUAAAUAGUAGUUUUACAUUUUAGGGGGGUUGGGCCCCUGCCAUCCCCUAGAUUCGCCACUGAUUAUAAUAAUAUAUUUUUUCAAAAGAAAAUGCACACAUACUUAUAUUUAAAAGAUAAAAUAAUUUAUUCGACCCUUCAAUUUUACAAAAAAUAAUAAUAAUAAUAACACUCCAUUUAAUUUCUUAUUUAUUUUAGCUAUUAAACUUGCAUUAUUCACCAAAUCACUUCAAAAUAAAUAGAAAAAUUAACAUUCGUUAACUUUGCUGACAUGACAUUCACAUGGAAUGGCACGAUGCAACAUCAACAAUUAAUUAUUUUUUAAUUUAAAAAUUCAAUAAAAUUAUUUAAAAGUAUAAAUUUAUAAAAAAAAUUAUUUUUUUAAAAUUAAUUAAUGACUAACGUAGCAUCCAUGUGGAUUGCCAUGUGGAUGCCACAUCAACAAAGUUAACAUACAUUAAUUUUUUUCAUCUAUUUUAGCGUAAUUUGACAAACAAUACAAACCCAAAAGCCAAAAAGGAUAAAAAAAUUAAUAAAAAUUUAAAAUGAUUUAUUAUAAAGUUGAUAGAUCAAAUAAAUCAUUAUACGUAUUUAAAACUCAAAUCUAAAUCCGAGUAACUCUAUCAUUAUAGGUAAUUUUUUUGAACGAUCUCAUUAUAAGUUUUGAUCAUAUCUAUUUUUUUAACACAAUGCUACCCAUAGCCCAUACCCCUCCUUAACCCAUAAAUAAAAAGAAAAUGCGCUUCAGCUAGCUCCAACCCACGUCCUCUUGCAUUGACAAUAAUACUUAUACUAAUCGAACUAAGACUUCAACCACCAUUUUUUUUCAAAGUAAUUUAGUUGCCAGUAACUUUCAAAUUUAAAGAGAAAAAGAAAAUUCAUGGUGGCAUUUCAAUUUCAUGGACUUAUUUAGGAUCUAAUCAACCAAUUAGAACUAAUUUAUUGAUACAGGUGGAUGAUAGAGAAAAUAAAAUAGUAAAUGGGAAACUCCUAUGCCUCUAUGUAUCUUAUGGUUCCUAUCUUAUAUCAGGUCUGUUCAAUUUCACUUUAAUUUUUUUUAAUCACAUUAAUUUAGUAUCCUACUAGGUUGCAUCUGUAUCAAUUGUACACUUGAUUAUAUUUUUUAUGAUUUUUUUAAUUUUUAUUAUGGAAUUAUAACAUAAUAAUAUAUGUUUAAUUUUAAAAUUUAUUUUAAAGGAAAAUACUAUUUUUUAAGGAAAAAAUAUUUAAAAAAAAACCGAUACAAUAAAUUUUUUUGAACAAUCUCAAUUAUGUUCAUAUUUGCUCUUUUUAACAUAAUACUUAAAACUACUCAUAGCCCAUUCUCAAUCCAUAGCCCCUAACCUUUCAAAAAAUGUCUAAUUGUUGUAUUUUUAACGAAAAUAUUAACUAAAACAUUAAAUUUUUAAGCAUGGCAGUUCGCAUGACAAUUCAUGUGUACCUCAUGCUUUUUUUUAAUAUUUUAUAAUUUUAAAUUAUUUGUUGACGUGGUAUCUAGACAAAUAGUGUCAUAUUAGCAUGGAGCAUACAUGGACUACCACGCAGGUUGUCGCGCCAACAUCACUAAAAAUAUAAUGUUUUAGUUAGCAUUUAACUUAAAAAAGUGAUUUGACUGUUUUCAAAAGAUUAAUAAUCAAAUUUAGCUAAAAAAAAGAAUAACAGCUAAAUUGACAAAAGAUGUAAAUGUUGAAGGUUAAAUUUAUUAUUAUAAAGGACUUAAUUUUUUAAUUUUUUAAAAUAGAAAUUAGAUUUUAAAUUUUUUUCUAAGCCUAAAGACUAAUAGUAUAUUUAAACAUAAAAAAAAAGUGUGAUUAAAUCCAAAAGUUUUAAAAGAUGAGAUGAAAUUGAAUGUGGUGCAAAUACUAAAAUUUGAACAUGAUGGCAAUUAGGUGUAGUGUUACUUUCAUUCAAUCCAAGGGGUUAUUAAGUUAAUUGAUUGAUUUGUUGAUAAGAUUGACUAUGAUGCUUUUUCAACACUUUGGGGUGUCUUUUUGCAAAUAGACAAAUUAUAGUUUGGUAGAGGCCAAAAUUAGUGAUUUAUUUUACUACACAUCACCACAGCAAUAAAGGAAAAUUAAUCUAACAACUAAUCCCCUUUUGACAGCUUCCAAGAUAUUUUGAAUUGCAUUUACACAUAAAUGUCACCAUGAAGUUUCAUCUAUGUUAUGAGAAGAAAAUCAACACUAAUAUUACUUCAAAAAAAUUGGAAGGUAAAAGUAUCAUGGCGGUCUUAAUUUUAAGGGUCAAAUUACAUUUUGCUCUAUUUACUAAAAAAAUGGGCAAAUUAGUCUAUGUAACUUAGAUCAAAGAGCAAAUCAGUCUUUCUAUUAAAAAUUUCAUCCAUUUCUACUAUUAAAAAUCAGUCCAUGUACAUUAGAAUGAGAUACAUGUGGCACGUUAAGUUUAACUGUUUGGUUAUUCUGUCAAUCACGUCAGUUUUUAACAAUAAAAAUUGAUAAAAAUUUUAAUAAAAAUGACCAAUUUGCUUUUUGAUCUAAUGUAUAGGGAAUAAUUUGUCCAUUUUUUUAGGGAAUAAUUAUGUGUGUAAUUAGCUAAUCUUAAUAUAUAUAUAUAUUCUUAGAAAAUCUAAUCUUGGACAUGUAUGGUAAUUUUUUUUUUAGUAAAGAAUCCUUAAUUAAAAUGGAAUUCGAGAAAAUUUACUUUUGCAAAAUGUAUCACAAUACCAAUUGUAAACCUUGUUUAGAGAAAGAAGUACAUAAAUAAACUCUAUUAAUUAAAACCCAAAUUCGAUUCAACCUAAUUUAAUAAUAAAACGUUAACAACUCGAAUCUAAACUGCUUCGAAUUUAAAGUUGAUUUAAAUCCAAUAGAAUUAAAAUCUUAUAUGACUUAAAUCCAAAUAAAUAAUCAAAAUGAUUCAAACCUAAAAUGAUCCAAACUAAAAAAAAAUUAAAUCAUAAAAUCGACAUAAUCCAAAAUUAAAAUAACCUAAAUUGAAUUACAACAAAACUAAAAAGUACCUAAACCCUCGUCUAAAACCAACUUCACUAAAUUGACAUAUUUACUCUAUAAUAUAAUCAAUUGGGGACCCUCGAAAAGCAAUGGCUUAUGUGAGACCCAAUUUUUGCCCGGCCCAUUAACAAAUAACCCAAUUACAAAUAAAAUAAAAUACCCCUGCCCAAUUACUAAAUCAACCCAAACCUAGACCCAAAAUCUAAACCCACUAAAACUAAACCCUAAUGGCCCAAAUGGCCCAAAGUACAAAUCAGAAAACAGAACCCUAGCCUACUGCCUUCAGCCGCACCACCUGCCCUUUUGACUUCCACGCCGCCGCCGUCAUUUCCUCUCUGUUGCCGUCGCCUCUAGCAACCACCAACUCUGCCACCUAAUCCAUCAGCAUCAAAUCACUCUGCAAACAAGGGGAAAACACGCAAAGUAGCAAAAUAAUAGAGAAAAUAGAAAUGGAUCGGCUAUAAAAGCCAAACACCAUGUCUGUAUUUUUUUUUUACAAUGGAUGAACAACACCAGUGAAUAAUAAGGAGAUAAAAACAAAAGAAAAAGGUUGAUUUCAAUUUAUUUUCUUCUCUGUUCUUGCGUUUUUUAUUUACUUUCUUCUAUUUUAUUUAUUUUUUUGUUUAUUUUGUUUAUUUUCUACAGCUCUUUUAACGAAACAAAAAUAAGAAAAGGGAAUUACCUGUGCCGCGCCGGAAAGGAGAAGACGAGCGGUUUCCCCUCGUUCUUCAGGCUUCGGACUUUUUUUUAGGUUUGGCCCUAGAUUUGUGCCUAAGACACGCUUGGCUUCGAAAAGAGGAUCAAAAGAUCCGAUUUUGGAGUCGCCGGCCACCGCAUGCGGCGGUGCUAGGGCGGAGGCAUGCCGGAGGCCUAGAUCGGCCGAUGAUCGGCGCCAGGGCCUGAGAGAAUACAAGAGAGAGAGUUCUCUCUCAGUUUUUUUUUUUAAAUGAUGAAUCUGAUUUUUUUAGUUUUUUUUUAGUUUUUUCUAAUAUUUAUACUAAAAGUAAAGCGGCACCGUUUUGAGAUCCCUUGACCCGCGCAGCGACCCGGCCCAAGGGGAAGGAUCCGCGCGUUCUGCCUUAGGGGGAUAUUUGCGCCAUAGGUCCUCUCUCCUUUGUGGCGUAUACAAUACAGUUUUUUUUAUUUUUACAAUUUUGGCAUCGAAUGUUAUUUCUGUUUCAGUUUGGUCCCUAGACCAUGCGCUUUGACUUCGUUGGAACGGCGUCGUUUAAUCGACAUGGGUUAUUUCCCUAUUCAGUCCUCCCUCUUUCAGCGCGCGUCACAAUUUAAUCCUUUUUUCGUUUUUUAUUUCGAUUUCACCCAAUACUUUCGUUUAUUUUGAUUUAGUCCAUAUUUUAGCAACUUUAUUAUUAUUAUUAUUAUUAUUAUUAUUAUUAUUAUUAUUAUUAUUAUUAUUAUUAUUAUUAUUAUUAUUAUUAUUAUUAUUAUCAUUACUACUACUAUAUAAUUGCUUUAUUAUAUAUACUAUAUAUAUAUUAUANNNNNNNNNNNNNNNNNNNNNNNNNNNNNNNNNNNNNNNNNNNNNNNNNNNNNNNNNNNNNNNNNNNNNNNNNNNNNNNNNNNNNNNNNNNNNNNNNNNNCCACUUAUUAUUUUGAAUGAAUGUUUAACUUUAUUCGUUUAUAUACUUGGUUAUUUUAGUAUGUUAUAGAUUUGACUUUUUAUUUAUUUUAUAUUGUUGCUAUUGCUCGUAUCAUUUUUGGUAUUUAUCAUAGUUUUGCCAUGCAUAACAACGUAAUUUGCUUUCACAUUUUACUACGACUUUGUGUUUUUAUUUCACUUGAUAUAACUAAAUUUGUUUUAAAAAAUGGCACUUCGUGUUUAGAUUCGAGAAGAUCGUACCCUAACUCACUGGGUUUCGAUUUUCACAAUAAAUCUAAAUACACGAAUAUUUUCAAACUUAAGUUUUUAAAUGAUCUCGGGAAUUAAGAAAAGAUUAUGUCCUAACUUACUGGGCAUGAUCCAUUUCCUAAACCCGAGAUAAUAAAAUAUUUUUUAAAUAAAUAAAUUUUGGCAUUCAUUCGCGUAUCCGAAAUUCGAGGCAUUGUGUCCUAACUUACUGGAUAUGAUUCUCUUUCUUGAAUAACGUGAAACAUGCCCCUUUUCCUAAAAAUUUCUAAUGCUUUAAUACAAUGAUCGUAUUUUUAAAUUUCUUUAAAGUUUUCAGUUUUUCGACACUAAGAGCUUAAGUAAUCAACUAGGUACCAAUUUGGGGCGUAUCGAGGGUGCUAAUCCUUCCUCGUGCGUAACCGACUCCCGAACCCAUUUUUUUCUGAAUUUCGUGGACCAAACUUGUUGUUUUAAUAAAAUCAAGCCGUUUAUUAAAAACAACCACUUUUCGAGGUGAUCCAAUCACACCUCAUAAAAAAGGAUUGGUGGUGAUUCCUGUUUCAUUUUUCAAAACCCAAGUCGACCCCGUUUUCAUCCAAAAAAUAGUGUCAACAGCUUACAUACUAAAACUUUCAUGAAACAGAAAAGGGGUAAUAUAAUUUUUGGUCUGAUAAUGAGGUUUAUUUAGUAUUUGUAUUUCUUUCUCUAUUUUAACACUUGAAUUUGACAACUAAAUUCAUUUUGGUCCCUAAAUUUAAAAAAAUUAUAGCGCAACACUUUAAUUUUGUGCCACAUCAUCACUUGAAAACUAAAAAAAAUUAUAUAAAUUUUUAGGUGAUGACGUGGUACAAUCAUAGAGUGUAACAUACAACAAUCUAAUAAUCGAACUAGUUGGUUAAACCGAUCAAACCAUUGGUGCUCGAUUCGAUCAAUUUGAUCAAUUCAACUGCUAGACAAACAAUGAUUAAAUAAAUAAUUAAAAAUUCAUAAAAAAUAAUUUUUAUUAAACAUGGUCCAUUAUCAGUUUUCAAUUUUGUCAGUUUUGAGUUGUUUUCGAUUCAAUUGGUUCAACCCUUUUGUUUGGACCAAUAUAUCAAUCGGUUCUCGAUCCAGUCAUUUUCGAUCCACCGAUCCGGUCAUGUUCCAAGAACACUAGUUACUUAAUCAAAUAUUGAUAGAAUUCAAGUUCAAGGAUCAAAAUGGAUCUAGUUAUCAAAUUCAAGUGCCAAAGUAAACAAAAAAAAAGUACAAGCAUCAAAGUGAACUUAAUUGCCAAGUUCAAGAAGAUAUUAAGGUAUAACCAAGUAAACCAUCAAGUGAUUGGUUCAAUGAUUUCAAACCUUGGAGACAACAUUGUUGAAAGGAGCAAGUACAAACCCCAACUCAAUCUGUAAAAUGAGAAGUAAAAAUAAAACUGUAUAACAAGUAAAUAUGAAGAAACUCAACCCUCUGUUCUCCAUUGUCAGCCAUGGCUACCAAUUCGAUCCGAAGUUGAAGAUAUUCUCAUUUUGCAUCACUUUCGGAGGAGACCUUUGGGGUGGUACUGAGGAGAGAAGAAUAUGAAAGCUUUUCUAAAAGCUACUUUCGUAGUUGCGUAACAAAAAAAAUCAUAAUUGAACCACUACUAUUGUAAUUAAAAAAUAUUUUAUAUUGAGAUUAAACCACAACUUGCUAAUUACAUGUUAAACAAUAUCUUUCUUCAAAACAACAUCAAUGAAUAUUUCAAUCUAACUUGCUAAUUACAUGUUGAUGGGCUCAAAACGUCUCGGGAGGAAAGGAUACGUCGACAGAAGUGACAGCAAAGCGGCGGUUGAUUUGAUUCAUGGGACCGAUAGGGUUGUACUACCAAGACUGGGUUUGGAAAUUUGCAAUUGGAUAGGGAGGGACUGACAAGUUAAGGUUCAAUAUGUGCCAUGAACAACAAAUAUGGCAGCAAAUGCUAUAACCAGAAAGGUUAGGAGUAAUGCAAAGGGAUUUCACUUCUUCAUUCACCCCCUUCAAUGGUUCAAGAUGUAAUGAUACGAGAUAAAUGUUAAACAACCCAACUUUUAACUUUCUUAGUUGAGCCUUAUAGUUAAACUUCCAUUUCUAUCCAUCUAUCUAUCUAUAUAUAUAUAUAUAUAUUUCAAUCAAAGUCCCUUGUGUUGUUAGCCUUAAAAAUUACCAAACCUACAAAUCUCGUUGCAUUCUUCCAAUUUCAAGAUUCCAACACCAAAAAGGAAAGGUUGAAGAAAUAAAAUGGAUCAAACAGAAAAGCAGAAGCAGAAGCAAUCACUGAGUCAGUUCCAUAGAAAACUGACUCGGUUGCUUCUUUCAGUUUCUAUUUUUUCCUUGUUUUUUUCUCAUUCUUUGUUCCAUUCCUUAAACUCCACUUUCCAUGACACACUUGCUUUCAAGUUUCUUAGCCAUAACAUAGAAAAAAACUUCAUAUUCCUUCUUUGCAAUGGCCUCCUUGUUUUCCUUGCAAAAUUUUCUGGACUCAUCAGUUCUUCAUCAAAGCAUAAUAAUGAUCAUCAGUCUUUCAAGAGCUAUGAAUAUGUUACUCAAACUGAGUCAACUAGUUUGGAUCCCAAAACACCAUUGUUAGAGAAGGAAGAAAAUGCUGGUCUUGAUGAAGAAGAGUUAAAACGGGCAUCAGUUGAUGAACCUUUUGUUGAAGAGAUGAACAAAAGGUUUGAUGAAUUUAUCAGAAAGGUGAAAGAAGAAUUAAGCACGGAAGCUUGACAACAGUUAGUCAUUGUUUAUAAUUUGUCAAAUCAUUUCGGGUUUUGGGCAAUGAAUUUUUUAGGUUGGGUAAUGAAGGCAUCGAAGAAUGGCACAGUAGUAAAUCAGGGUUGACGAUGUUUGGGGCCUUGGAACCUUGAUAAAGUUACACGGAGUAAACACAAUCUAACCAACAAGGUCCAGAAGAGCCAGUGGGUGGACAAUGUAUAUUGGCUCACCCAUACACGACGCUGAUGGACACAGUGAAAAAGCUGAGGAUGACGAUGUUUUUGGUAUCGUUAAUGGAGAUCACACUGAUGAAGAAGCUGGCAAAGAUGAUUCAAUGGCGUCUGAUGCUUCUUCAGGAUGAAAGGGUCGAUGAAAGGGUCAAAAUUUGAUCCCAUGAUUAAAAAAAAACAUAGUUUAUCCAUACCACUAAGGAUAUAAAUGAGACACUUAUGCUUAUAAGCUAUUCAAGUUUGAUUCGAAAAAAUUCAAAUUCAAUUUGGUAAUUAUAGAGCUAAGCUCGAGUGAUCGAUCGUGUCAAAUUCAAAUUUAGUAAUAUUUGAUUCAAACGACUCACGAACUUUAUCGAACUUUUAAUUUUUUUAUAUUAUUAAAUUAUGUUAUUACCCUUCACAUAUAUUAUUAACCCUAAGCUUAAUUGAGUACAAAAUUGAUAAACGAGCUCAAACUCGAAUACCUUAUAUGAUAUCUUAUGGUUCCUAUAUGAUAUCAAGUCUUUUUAGUUCCAUCUAUAAUUGUUUUGCUUUAUGACAUUAAUUUGGUAUUCCAUUUUUAUUAACAAAAUGUUAAAAUUUUGUUGUUAGUCUUUAUACUUUUCUAAAAUUUGAUAUUUAGUCCAUAUACUUUAACUGCAAAUAAUUUAAGUAUCUUACUUUUUCAAUUUAAAAAUCCUCGUCCAAUCACUAAAACCGUUACUAGUUUUCGUCAAAUUUAUCAACUUGAUAUUAUACAAGGGUAGUCUAAUUAGCAUGCCAAAUUGACAUUUUUUCGAAAAAUAUAAAUAAUGUUAAUAUCUGAAUUGAGAUUUUUAAAUUGGAAGUACAAUGACGGAACCCCUUAUAUAAUUCGACCACCGACAUAGAUGAGCAAUAUCACUUAACAAGAUUAUUUAAUACAAUUUCAGACUUUUACUAAGCUUUGAACACAUGUUUGAAAUUAUUUUGAACUAUUCCCAAGGUCUUUGAAUUUACCCACAGAAUAAAAUGGGGUUCCAAGGACCUAGAAUGACUAAAAAUACAAGGUGUAGUGGCUUAAGUCUCGAGACUCAGGCAACAAAUCCUAAUACUGGGCCUAUAGGUCUUGAGAGUUGGACUUCCUACUUCAAAUUUUACUAUUGACUAACCAGUCUUGUUACUAGAAGGGUUUAAUCUCAAGACUUAAUGUUGGGGACCUCAAAAUUGGUUCAAAAACACUUUGAAUCAUCCCCAAACAUCAUCAUAUGAUACCUGUAAAUCUCAAAUAAUUUCAAAACCAUUUUAAAGCUCAUUCUAGCUUAAUUUCAAGUUAUACUCAUGUUCAAAUGUCAAAUAAAAUAUUCACAUAAUUUCAAAUGACACAUGGUAACUCAAAUAAAUGUAAUUAUAAACAGUUAUACUAGCCUAAACCUUUAUGUACAUGUCAUUACACCAUCAUAACUAAUACAUAAAAUUAAUUACUUUACAACCUUCCGACCUCAUACACUAAUGCGAUCCUCCCUAUAUACGAUCUCAAGCUCUUUGGAAAAGUUUUUACCUAUGGGUUCAAAUAACUAACACGUUAAGCUCAAAGAGUUCCAUAAGUACACUCAAGCUUCCUACCUUACCUUAUCUCAUAUAUAUAUAUAUUAUUAAGCCUGAGUUUAAUUAUUGAGCUUAAUUGAGCUCAAACUCGAGUAGCUCAAUUAUAUCUCGACCCAAGAUCAAACUUAAAAAUAAAUAUUCGAUCAAGUUCAAACCAAGUAUCGAGCUUCAAAUUUCAAGUCGAACUUAACAGUAUUUAGACUCGGAUUAGCUCAAUUCUAAAGCAAAAUAACAGUGGCUUAAAAGAGAGAAAUAUUCAUUUGUAACCGAAAUUAAAUGAGUUGAUGAUAACCAAUUAGAACUAACGUAUUGAUAUGGGCGGAUGAUAGAGAAAGGACACUCCUAGCCAAGGCCCCUAUCUUAUGGUUCCUAUAUGAUAUCAGGUCUUUUUAGUUCCAUCUAUAAUUGCCUUGUUUUAAUGACAUUAAUUUGGUAUUCCAUUUAUUUUAACAAAUGGUUAAAUUUUGUCGUUAAUCUCUAUACUUCUAUGAACUUUGAGAUUUAGUCCAUAUGCUUUAAAAGUUCUAGUCCAAUCACUAAAACCGUUAGUACUUUUCGUCAAAAUUUGUCAACUCGAUAUUAUAUAAAGGCAGUCUAAUCAACAUGUCAAAUUGGUAUUUUUCUAAAAAAUACUAACAAUGUUAAUGAUUGGAUGACUUUUUAAGUAUAAUAACUAAAUCUUAAAAAAAAAAAUCGAAUAUACUACUUAUUAGUUAGUUCUUCAUUUUACUUAUAUGAAGCGGUGAUUAAAAUUUUUAUCAAACACCCGUUUGAUACAAGUUCAAAUUAUGUUAUCCUAUCCCAAUAUUUAUUAAGAAAAGUUUUUAAUAUAUAUUUACAGAGAAGUCCUAGAUGAAAGAUGGUAAUAGUUAAUGACAUAGACAUUAGAUAUAAAGAGAAAAUUUUUUUUAUAAAAAAUCCUAAUUUAAUUAUUAUAAAAGAAGUUGUAUUUGGAAAUUUAAACACAAACUUGGUAAUUACAAUGUUAAAUAAAAUUUUUAAAAAAUCAAAUAAAAACUCAAAUCAAUUUGAUUCCUCUAUAAAAAGGGCAUACCCUUUAGUUUCUUAGCCUUACAAAUUACCAAACAUAGACAUCCCAUUGCAUCUUCCAAUUUAAAUUUAAAGAGAAAAGGAAAAUUCAUGGUGGCAUUUCAAUUUCAUUUUAGGAUCUAAUCAACCAAUUAGAACUAAUUUAUUGAUACAGGUGGAUGAUAGAGAAAAUAAAACAUUAAAUGGGAAACUCCUAUGCCUCUAUGUAUCUUAUGGUUCCUAUCUUAUAUCAGGUCUGUUCAAUUUCACUUUCAAUUGUUUUAAUCACAUUAAUUUAGUAUCCUAUUAGGUUGCAUUUGUAUCAAUUGUACACUUGAUUACAUUUUUUAUGAUUUUUUUUAAAUUUUUAUAACAAAUAAUUGAUAAUUUUAUUAUGAGAUUAUAACAUAUUUAAUUUUUUUAAAAAAAUUUAAAGGAAAAUACUAUUUUUUAAGGAAAAAUAUUAAAAAACCGAUACAAUAUUUGUUUUGAAUAAUCUCAAUUAUGUUCAUAUUUGCUAUUUUUAACAUAAUGGCUAAAACUACUCAUAGUUCAUUCCCAAUCCAUAGCCCCUAAAACUACCAUCAACCUUUCAAAAAAAAGUCAAAUUGUUGUAUUUUUAACGAAAAUAUUGAAUAAAACAUUAAGUUUUUAAGCAUGGCAGUUCGCAUGACAAUUCAUAUGUACUUCAUGUUUUUUUAAUAUUUUAUAAUUUUUAAAUUAUUUGUUGACGUGGUACAUAGACAAAUAGUGUCAUGUAUAUGUUAGCAUGGAGCAUACAUGGACUACCAUGUAGGUUUUCGCGCCAACAUCACUAAAAAUAUAAUGUUUUAGUUUUAGUUAGCAUUUUUGUUAAAAAAGUGAUUUGGCUCUUCUCAAAAGAUCAAUGAUCAAAUUUAGCUAAAAAAAAAAGAAUUACAGCUAAAUCGACAAAAGAUGUAAAUGUUGAAGGCAAAAUUUAUCAUUAUAAAGGACUUAAAUUUUUUAAUUUUUUAAAUUAGAAAUUAGAUUUUAAUUUAUUUUCAAAGCCUAAAGACUAAUAGAAUAUUUAAACAUAAAAAGAAAAAGUGUGAUUAAAUCCAAAAGUUUUAAAAGAUGAGAUGAAAUUGAAUGUGGUGCAAAUACUAAUCUUUGAACAAAAGGUUUGAUGAAUUUAUCAGAAAGGUGAAAGAGGAAUUAAGCACGGAAGCUUGACAACAGUUAGUCAUUGUUUAUAAUUUGUCAAAUCAUUUCGGGUUUUGGGUAAUGAAUUUUUUAGGUUGGGUAAUGAAGGCAUCGAAGAAUGGCACAGUAGUAAAUCAGGGUUGACGAUGCUCGGGGCCUUGGAACCUUGAUAAAGUUACACAGAGGAAACACAAUCUAACCAACAAGGUCCAGAAGCGCCAGUGGGUGGACAAUGUAUAUUGGUUCACCCAUACACUACGCUGAUGGACACAGUGAAAAAGCUGAGGAUGAUGAUGUUUUUGGUAUCGUUAAUGGACACGGUUAAAUUCAAAUUUAGUAAUAUUUCACUCAAACGACUCACGAACUUUAUCGAACUUUUAAUGUUUUUAUAUUAUUAAAUUAUGUUAUUACCCUUCACAUAUAUAUUAACCCUAAGCUUAAUUGAGUAUAAAAUUUAUGAACGAGCUCAAACUCGAAUAGCUUAUAUGAUAUCUUAUGGUUCCUAUAUGAUAUCAAGUCUUUUUAGUUCCAUCUAUUGUUUUGCUUUAAUGACAUUAAUUUGGUAUUCCAUUUAUAUUAACAAAAUGUUAAAAUUUUGUUGUUAGUCUUUAUACUUUUCUAAAAUUUGAGAUUUAGUCUAUAUACUUUAAAUGCAAAUAAUUUAAGUAUCUUACUUUUUCAAUUUAAAAAUCCUCGUCCAAUCACUAAAACCGUUACUAGUUUUCGUCAAAAUUUAUCAACUUGGUAUUAUACGAGGGUAGCCUAAUUAGCAUGCCAAAUUGACAUUUUUUUUUCAAAAAAUACAAAUGAUGUUAAUAUUUGAAUUGAGAUUUUUAAAUUGGAAGUACAAUGACGGAAGGCAUUGGAACACCCCUUAUAUGGUUCGACGACCGACACGGAUAAGCAAUAUCACUUAACAAGAUUAUUUAAUACAAUUUCAGACUUUUACCAAACUUUGAACACAUGUUUGAAAUUAUUUUGAACCAUUCCCAAGGUGUUUGAAUUUAACCACAACAUAAAAUGGGGUUCCGAGGACCUAGAAUGACCAAAAAUACAAGUUUUGAAGGUGUAAUGGCUUAAGUCUCGAGACUUAGGCAACAAAUCUCAAUACUGGGCCUAUAGGUCUUGAGACUUGGACUUCCUACUACAAAUUUUUACCAUUUGACUUGCUAGUCUUGUUACUAAAAGAGUUUAAUCUCAAGACUUAAUGUUGGGAUCUCAAAAUUAGUUCAAAAACACUUCGAGUCAUCUCAAACAUCAUCAUAUGAUACCAAUAAAUCUCAAAUAAUUUCAAAACCAUUUUAAAGCUCAUUCUAGCUUAAUUUCGAGUUAUACUCAUGUUCAAAUGUCAAAUAAAGUAUUCACAUAAUUUCUAAUGACACAUGGUAACUCAAAUAAAUGUAAUUAGAAACGUUAUGCUAGCCUAAUCUCAAGCUCUAUGGAAAAGUUGUUAAGCUCAAAGAGUUUCAUAAGUGCACUCAAACUUCCUACCUUACCUUAUCACAUAUAUAUAUUAUUAACCCUAAGUUUAAUUAUUGAGCUUAAUUGAGCUCAAACUCGAGUAACUCAAUUAUAUCUCGACCCAAGAUUAAACUUAAAAAUAGAUAUUCGAUCAAGUUCAAACCAAGUAUCGAGCUUCAAAUUUCAAGUCAAACUUAACAAUAUUUAGACUCGGAUUAGCUCAAUUCUAAAGCAAAAUAACAGUGGCUUAAAAGAGAGAAAUAUUCAUUUGUAACCCAAAUUAAAUGAGUUGAUGAUAACCAAUUAGAACUAACGUAUUGAUACGGGCGGAUGAUAGAGAAAGGACACUCCUAGCCAAGGCCACUAUGUAUCUUAUGGUUCCUAUAUGAAAUCAGGUCUUUUUAGUUCCAUCUAUAAUUGUCUUGUUUUAAUGACAUUAAUUUGGUAUUCCAUUAAUUAUAUUAACAAAUGGUUAAAUUUUGUCGUUAAUCUCUAUACUUCAAUGAAAUUUGAGAUUUAGUCCAUAUGCUUUAAAAGUUCUAGUUCAAUCACCAAAACCGUUAGUAUUUUUCGUCAAAACUUGUCAACUCGACAUUAUAUAAAGGCAGUCUAAUCAACAUGUCAAAUUGAUAUUUUUCUAAAAAAUACUAACAAUGUUAAUGAUUGGAUGACUUUUUAAGUAUAAGAACUAAAUCUUUAAAAAAAAUUGCAUAUACUACUUAUGAGUUAGUUCUUCAUUUUACUUAUAUGAAGCGGUGAUUAAAAUUUUUAUCACUUAUGAGUUAGUUCUUCAUUUUACUUAUAUGAAGCGGUGAUUAAAAUUUUUAUCAAACACCCGUUUGAUACAAGUUCAAGUUAUGUUAUCCUAUCCCAAUAUUUAUUAAGAAAAGUUUUUUUAAUAUAUAUUUACAAAGAAGUCCUAGUUGAAAGAUGGUAAUAGUUAAGGACUUAGACAUUAGAUAUAAAGAGAAAUUUUUUUUUUAAAAAAAUCCUAAUUUAAUUCUUAUAAAAGAAGUUGUAUUUGGAAAUUUAAACCCAAACUUGGUAGUUACAAUGUUAAAUAAAAUUUUAAAAAAAUCAAAUAAAAACUCAAAUCAAUUUGAUUCAUCUAUAAAAAGGGCAUACCCCUUUAGUUUCUUAGCCUUACAAAUUACCAAACAUAGACAUCCCAUUGCAUCUUCCAAUUUCAAGUCUCCAACACCAAAAAGGAGAGUUUGAAGGGGAAAAAAAUGGAUCAAACAGGAAACCAGAAGCAGAAGCAAUCACUGAUGAGUCAGUUCAUAGAAACUCAGUUCCAUAGAAAUCUGACUCAGUUGCUUCUUUCAGUUUCUAUUUUUUCCUUGUUUUUUUCUCACUCAUAUUGCCUUUCCUUGUUCCAUUCCUUUAGCUUCACUUUCCAUAACACACUUGCUUUCAAGUUUAUUAGCCAUAACAUAGAUAAAAACUUCAUAUUCCUUCUUUGCAAUGGCCUCCUUGUUUUCCUUGCAAAAUUUUCCGGACUCAUUAGUUCUUCAUCACAGCAGAGUAAUCUUAGUGAUGAUCACUAUAAUCAUCAGUCUUUCAAAAGCUAUACAUACAUCCCUCAAACUGAGUCGACCCGCUUGGACACCUCAACACCAUUGUUGGAGUUGGAGAAGGAAGAAAACGCUGGUUUUGUUGAAGGAGAGGAAAAAGGGUCCUCAAUUGAUGAACCUUUUGUUGAAGACAAUGAAGAAAGUGAAACCUAUGAACCAGAAGAAGAAGAAGAAGAAGAAGAAGAAGAAGAAGCAGAUAUUGAAGAAAGUGAAACCUAUGAACCAGAAGAAGAAGAAGAAGAAGAAUUAAUGGAAGGAAACAAUGUGUUAAGUACUGAAGAGAUGAACAAAAGAUUUGAUGAAUUUAUCAGAAAAAUGAAGGAAGGAUUAAGGAUCGAAGCUCAACAACAAUUAGUCAUG
rnacentral:lncRNA from 1 species